UUUUGUUGCGAUAGAAGACAAAAAUGUAUUUUUACCUUUUUUUUUUUAUAAAGAAGAUUUCAUUAAUAUGUAGUUUAGAUAUCACAUAUUAUUAUUUGUUAUAUAUAAAUAUGGGAUAGGAUCAAGGGACGAGAAAAACUUGUAUAUGCUUGCAAUUGGAUUUUGUCGAGUGGCAAUACAAUCUAGUCAAAACUCGUCAUGUAAUAAGUUUAAAAUAUACUGUUAUUUUAUCAUGUUUUAUUUUAAAAUCUUCAUGAUUAUCUCUUUUACUAAUUAAGGAUAUUAAUUAGGAAUUAUCUACAACUAAUUCAUAUAUGAAGAACCAUAUCCAUAUCCCACUGUUAAGCCGAUUCCCACAGGAUAUAAAAAGUUUAAUUAGAGCUCUGCAUAGUCCUCACAAUCAUUCCUGUAGUACAAUAUAGAAGAAAAUUAGAAAAAUGAAAUCAAAAUAUAAAAUAUAGAACUUAAAUCCUACUGAAAAAGUUCUAGUGUUCAGCAAAAUGAAGCAAAUAUGAACGGUUGUGCAUGCCUUUCUUCAAACGAAUAUAAAAUGUAAACAAUAACAUCUACAAUUCUAAUACUUUAUCAAUAAAUAUGAAUUGAGCAUCCAUUUGACUAACAACAAAAUUGAAUAUCACAAAAAUAUAUAUUAAAUAAUCUGUAAGUUUUGUUUUGCUUUUUCUUCUUCUACCUUGAGGAGCAGUAGCCCAGAAUUUAGAUCACGGGUGAAUUUUCUCAAUCAAGAUUCGAUUUAGGAUUGAGAUGAUUUUAAGUAUGUUUUCGAAAUUGGAUUUUUUUUUCCUUUUAUUUCAUGAUAGUUGGAGAAGAUUGGCUUUUUCCAUAUUCUUAUGAAGAAACGAGAAAAACGUGUGGGGAAGAAGAUUGCAACGGCAGGGAGGGAGGGAAAAUGAAAAGGAGGAGGGGAGGAAAAAAUAUGAACUCUUAGAUGGUGUAUAUUAAUUAAUAGAAAUGAAAAUUUUUAAAUAGAAGAAUGAUAAAUAUUGUAUUUACAACUUACCACAUGGCAAGUUUUGAUUCGUUGUAGUGUUACUCAGCAAAAUCCAGUGACAAACCAAACCUCACACAAGUUUUUCUCUCAAGGGACACAUAUUUUUACACUUUUUUAUGGUCUUUAAAUUUUAUGACAUUUUUUUUAUAUAUUCAUUAAAUGACAUGGACGCUUAUGUGGAUUUUAAUUAAAUAUUAAAACUGAAAAAAUACAUAAAAUCUGGAAAAUUUAAAAAAUGAAGAUAAUUUUUUUUUAAACAAGCGAUAUUAUCUAAGGGAGUGAAUGGGCUUAGCCUCACAAUAGGC
rnacentral:lncRNA from 1 species